GAGGGUAUAUUUCAAUGGUAGAAUGUGUGCUUAGCAUGCAUGAGGUCCUGAGUUCAAUCCCCAGUACCUCUA
rfam:Camelus ferus unplaced genomic scaffold scaffold338, whole genome shotgun sequence.